rnacentral:lncRNA from 1 species
AUAUAUUAUGACAAAAACAUUGGGUCUCUCGUUUGGGUUCGUGCAAGCUGCCACGGACCUCGAGUUCUGCAUGACAGCGGACCCCUGCGGCUUCAUUACUCAAGUGCCUAGAGAGCGCACUGCUCCUGCACCCAUCAUCCUGCUCAAGAACUGCAGCCAGACGAUUUCUCUUCCGGACUUGAGCGAGGGCGGGAUAUACCUGCUGUCUCAUCCUGGAUUCGGGUGUCUCUACUACCCCGACACGCCUGUCAACGCCUGCUCUCUGAAAUUAACUUACCCAACGAGUAACACAACAAAACUCAAGAUUAGUUCCUCCAAAUCCUUCAAGGACUUCUUGGGUACCGACGGAUGCGACGGCUACAGCCUUGAGUUUGACACGGACGGCCUGGGGUAACGGCGCUAACACUAAUUACUGCACGGCCGACCCUCUACCAGAUGUUUCGUUCACGGGAGAACUUACCGUCAUCCUGAAAGGCUCGUCGACCAACGACAGAAAGAAAAUGGGGUUCGAUUUCCUAAUUGAAGUAGCCUAACCUCAUAAGAUGAUCAGAACAUGGAAGAUGAAAUUAUAUAGCUACGCGAUCUAAUUUCAUCAUCAAACGCAUUGGCGAAGUCCAAUUCAGCGAGCAAGGCUGAGAGGAGUUUGAACACUAGAAACAUGAGUAGUUUGUGUGAAAACAUGCAAUCAUUCAUUAAAAGCCCCUUGCAUUCAUCGAAAAGACUUCGCAACGCAGUUUCCAACAAUCAGACUUUGCUUAUAGUUGCCAUCUGACCUUAAUCUGAUUGAUUAAGACCAUCGUUUUGAUCAAUCCAGCCCCAAUUCCGUAAAAACUUUGUUUCACCAACAUUCCGUACUGUUGUGCUUUCAUCAGCGAAGGUGCAAGCUUCUAAGAACGGUAGCACUUCUAUUAACGCAUAAUUUUCCAAUGCAAUACAGUGACCAUUCUGUCAACUUAGAAGAAAUUGGCUGCACAUAAUCGCGCUGUAAGUCUUGUGUUGCAUAAAAGAAUGCUUGGCAAGACGCAAAGUUAUGAAAGGGAACUCAUGCACCCUUGUCCAUUUGUUCAGCGUCACUCUGCUUUCUUACAUGCAAUGAAACCUUUCCGCGUAUGUUUCUUGAAAAUUUCAAGUUAUAAGACCGACGAAAACUAUUACCUACAUAGCUUCCUCUCUCAUCUUUUAGGGAAGAAUGUAGCAAAGCAAUCAGUUUCAGCCAUUCCCAUCAUCUAAAAUUGAUUGGAUCCCAUUUCGCUGUGAGGCUCACAUAUAAAUACAUUACAUUGAAUAUUCUUACUCGUUUUGCUAUGCAUAAGUUCAUAUGCAACCAUAAACCUGACUUUUCCGAAUUUCGAGAGUUGAAGCUGCCAAUUACAGCAGAUAAAUUCACUAUUAACUGUAACUAUUUUGAGAUCUUCUGAUAUUAAUUGAAAUGGACAACAGAAAUUUGAAUAUGAAAUGACAAAAUUAUCAUAUUAAUUACUUCACUUAGUGAAAUUAGGCUGCUUAGGUGAGGAAAAAAUGAAAUAACGAAUGUCUUGACAUCUUGACAAUAACUGGUAGCCAAGACAUCUUGAUGUCUUGUUAUUUUUUGUUAUUUUUCAACAGUCAUUUUUCAACGCUCUUGUUCCUUCCUAUUUCUGUCACUUUUAGAAGUGAUGGAUGUCAGGUAGAUAAUUGUUCAGCACAGGCGUGUCAUCGUAGCUUUUGACAGAUUCAUUAAUGAUGCACUUUUUGCAAUAAAAUUUUGGUUAUAUGAAACUUGAUAUUUUUUUAAUCAUCAAAGAUUCGUGUGAUUUACAAAGGUUUCUUGAUGCAACACUUGA